rnacentral:rRNA from 1 species
GACGUAGGAGGCGAGCGUUGUCCGGAUUCAUUGGGCGUAAAGAGCACGCAGGCGGUUUGGCAAGUCGGAUGUGAAAACCCGAAGCUCAACUUCGGGCCUGCAUCCGAAACUGCCCGACUAGAGGUAGGUAGGGGAGAUCGGAAUUCCUGGUGUAGCGGUGAAAUGCGCAGAUAUCAGGAGGAACACCGGUGGCGAAGGCGGAUCCCUGGGCCUUACCUGACGCUCAGGUGCGAAAGCUAGGGGAGCGAACAGG